rnacentral:rRNA from 1 species
GACGAACGCUGGCGGCGCGCCUAAAACAUGCAAGUCGAACGAGAAACCCGGGCUUGCCCGGGUGGACAGUGGCGAACGGGUGAGCAACACGUGAGGAACCUGCCCCGAAGACCGGGACAACAUCGGGAAACCGGUGCUAAUACCGGAUACCUUCACCGGAUCGCAUGGCCUGGUGAAGAAAUGGAUUCCGCUUCGGGAUGGGCUCGGGGCCUAUCAGCUGGUUGGUGAGGUAACGGCUCACCAAGGAGACGACGGGUAGCUGGUCUGGGAGGAUGUCCAGCCACACUGGGACUGAGACACGGCCCAGACUCCUACGGGAGGCAGCAGUUAGGAAUCUUGCGCAAUGGACGAAAGUCUGACGCAGCGACGCCGCGUGCGGGAUGAAGGCCCUCGGGUUGUAAACCGCUUUCAGCAGGGACGAAAUUGACGGUACCUGCAGAAGAAGCCCCGGCCAACUACGUGCCAGCCGCCGCGGUAAUAC